rnacentral:rRNA from 1 species
GGCGGGGUGCUUACCAUGCAAGUCGACGAUGAACCGGUGCUUGCAUCGGGGAUUAGUGGCGAACGGGUGAGUAACACGUGAGUAACCUGCCCUUGACUCUGGGAUAAGCCUGGGAAACUGGGUCUAAUACCGGAUAUGACCUUCCAUCGCAUGGUGGUUGGUGGAAAGCUUUUGUGGUUUUGGAUGGACUCGCGGCCUAUCAGCUUGUUGGUGAGGUAAUGGCUUACCAAGGCGACGACGGGUAGCCGGCCUGAGAGGGUGACCGGCCACACUGGGACUGAGACACGGCCCAGACUCCUACGGGAGGCAGCAGUGGGGAAUAUUGCACAAUGGGCGCAAGCCUGAUGCAGCGACGCCGCGUGAGGGAUGACGGCCUUCGGGUUGUAAACCUCUUUCAGUAGGGAAGAAGCGAAAGUGACGGUACCUGCAGAAGAAGCGCCGGCUAACUACGUGCCAGCAGCCGCGGUAAUACGUAGGGCGCAAGCGUUAUCCGGAAUUAUUGGGCGUAAAGAGCUCGUAGGCGGUUUGUCGCGUCUGCCGUGAAAGUCCGGGGCUCAACUCCGGAUCUGCGGUGGGUACGGGCAGACUAGAGUGAUGUAGGGGAGACUGGAAUUCCUGGUGUAGCGGUGAAAUGCGCAGAUAUCAGGAGGAACACCGAUGGCGAAGGCAGGUCUCUGGGCAUUAACUGACGCUGAGGAGCGAAAGCAUGGGGAGCGAACAGGAUUAGAUACCCUGGUAGUCCAUGCCGUAAACGUUGGGCACUAGGUGUGGGGGACAUUCCACGUUUUCCGCGCCGUAGCUAACGCAUUAAGUGCCCCGCCUGGGGGAGUACGGCCGCAAGGCUAAACUCAAAGGAAUUGACGGGGGCCCGCACAAGCGGCGGAGCAUGCGGAUUAAUUCGAUGCAACGCGAGAACCUUACCAAGGCUUGACAUGGACCGGACCGCCGCAGAAUGUGUUUCCCCUUUGGGGCUGGCUUACAGGUGGUGCAUGGCUGUCGUCAGCUCCUGUCGGUGAGAUGUGGGGUAGUUCCCGCAACGAAUCGCAUCCUCGUUCUAUGUGCCAGCACCGUGAUGUGCGAC